rfam:Eubacterium infirmum F0142 genomic scaffold supercont1.2, whole genome shotgun sequence.
GUCAGAGUAGGAUUUGGCGCGUUAAGUGUCGCAGGAUGGGAGUUGUCUGCGAACGAAAGGAAUUUAUUCCUGCGGUGCCAAUUCCGCAUCCGCUGCC